rnacentral:rRNA from 1 species
UACGAAGGGUGCAAGCGUUACUCGGAAUUACUGGGCGUAAAGCGUGCGUAGGUGGUUCGUUAAGUCUGAUGUGAAAGCCCUGGGCUCAACCUGGGAAUGGCAUCGGAAACUGGCGACCUAGAGUGCGGUAGAGGGUAGUGGAAUUCCCGGUGUAGCAGUGAAAUGCGUAGAGAUCGGGAGGAACAUCCGUGGCGAAGGCGACUACCUGGACCAGCACUGACACUGAGGCACGAAAGCGUGGGGAGCAAACAGG